UACAGAGGGUGCAAGCGUUAAUCGGAAUUACUGGGCGUAAAGCGUGCGUAGGCGGUUAUGUAAGUCGGGUGUGAAAGCCCCGGGCUCAACCUGGGAAUGCCAUUCGAGACUGCAUAGCUAGGGUGCGGAAGAGGGAAGCGGAAUUUCCGGUGUAGCGGUGAAAUGCGUAGAUAUCGGAAGGAACACCAGUGGCGAAAGCGGCUUCCUGGUCCAGCACAGACGUUCAGGCACGAAAGCGUGGGGAGCAAACAGG
rnacentral:rRNA from 1 species